rnacentral:rRNA from 1 species
AGUGAACGCUGGCGGUAGGCCUAACACAUGCAAGUCGAACGGCAGCACAGGAGAGCUUGCUCUCUGGGUGGCGAGUGGCGGACGGGUGAGGAAUACAUCGGAAUCUACUCUGCCGUGGGGGAUAACGUAGGGAAACUUACGCUAAUACCGCAUACGACCUACGGGUGAAAGCAGGGGACCUUCGGGCCUUGCGCGAUUGAAUGAGCCGAUGUCGGAUUAGCUAGUUGGCGGGGUAAAGGCCCACCAAGGCGACGAUCCGUAGCUGGUCUGAAGGGAGGAUCAGCCACACUGGAAAUGAGAAACGGUCCAGACUCCUACGGGAGGCAGCAGUGGGGAAGAUUGGACAAUGGGCGCAAGCCUGAUCCAGCCAUACCGCGUGGGUGAAGAAGGCCUUCGGGUUGUAAAGCCCUUUUGUUGGGAAAGAAAUCCAGCUGGCUAAUACCCGGUUGGGAUGACGGUACCCAAAGAAUAAGCACCGGCUAACUUCGCGCCAGCCGCCGCCGUAA